UUCAUUGAGGGGCAUUGGUCGUGUUCUAUACUACACUGAGGAGUUGACUGGGGAUGAAGGGGUCGUGAUCGUGUACAUAUAGCUCACUGAGGGGCCUUAGCCGUGUUCUAAAAUUGAUUACCAGAGGUCAUGAUACUCGCUUACGUUCACGGAGGGGGCGAAAGGCCUGUGGCGAAAGUGCUUAGUUCGAGGGGUGGAUUACAGAUUUUAGUCAAAAGGUAGUAUUGGUCCUUGGUAGCUUGAGAAGUCUAGUGAUUUCAGAGUUAGAGCCACACGACAUGUUGAAGGAUGCGAGUCAGUUUGAUUAAACCACGAAGUAAAAUUUUGGGCACAUUGCACUAUGUUUGUAUAAACAUUUGAUUUUAUUGCAUAUCUUGUAGUAACUCAUAGUGAGCAUUGGUGAUGGAUUUGACAUUUGUUAGCAUCUAUUGUUGGCACACACCACGUUUUGGGUUCAUUAGGGUGAUUCGGGAUGGAUCGUGUUAGGUAGUAACUACUUAAUAAGGUACAUCAAAUCUAGGAUGGUGGUAACAAGGAGUGUUGAGAGUGAAUCGCAUUCGAAGGAGGAAGAUGCCGUCAAAAGAUUUACUUAUAAAAGAAGACAAUCUACUUCCCCACAAAAAUCUCAAUCAAAAAUGCAAAAGCCCCAGAUCAGGUCGCAAUUCUAGUUCGAAGGACGUAACUCACAAUGCCUCAUCAUUUUUUGUUUAGUCCUAUGCAAUUCAAUUUGUGAUUGUCAAUUAUUCUUGAUUUAAAAAUGGGAUUGUUUUUGAA